rnacentral:rRNA from 1 species
CAGCAGCCGCGGUAAAACGAAGGGGGCUAGCGUUGCUCGGAAUUACUGGGCGUAAAGGGAGCGUAGGCGGAUGUUUAAGUCAGAGGUGAAAGCCCAGGGCUCAACCUUGGAACUGCCUUUGAUACUGGACAUCUUGAGUGUGGGAGAGGUAAGCGGAACUCCGAGUGUAGAGGUGAAAUUCGUAGAUAUUCGGAAGAACACCAGUGGCGAAGGCGGCUUACUGGCCCAUUACUGACGCUGAGGCUCGAAAGCGUGGGGAGCAAACAGGAUUAGAUACCCCCGUAGUCCCUGUCUCUUAUAC